AUUUUCCCUUGUUCGUAAUGCAUUUUGCACCAAUUUAUUUUGAGUUAAUUUGAUUUUUUAUUUUUGGUGAUUUUAGACAAGAAUGUUGGGAUUGCAGUUAAUGAAGAUGAGUUUAGAGAAAAAGAAUGACCACCUAACCUAACAAAAUAUAAGGUAAUUGCGAUUGAUUUGUUGUUUUGUAGACCUAGGAUGAUAUUUUUUAGGUAGUGAUCAAUUUGCUGAAUUUGAUUGUUAUGUAUUAAUUACUGGAGUUAAAAAGAGUGAAAGGAAAGGUGAUUGACUAAGAUUCUAUCUUUGUGUGUUAUGAAUAAUUGCAGUUGCAGUUUGAAAAAUAUUACAGCAAGUUCCUCUGUCUUAUUUGAAUCUUAUGGGGUGUUAUGAAACGGAAUUUGUUAUUGUUUUUUAGGCAAUGAAGCAUGAGAAGGGAAUCUAUAGAUGAGACAAUCAUUUACAUUUUACCAAACAAAUUGACUUGAUGAGCGAUACGCGAUCUAGAAAGGAAUAGGCAAGCGUGAAACAUGUAAACAAAUUGAAGGUUGUACGCACCAGGGGAAAUGAACUGCCAAUGAAUUUUCCUUCCAACUCUUAUUAUUCCUCCAUUUCGUCUAAAAUGCUAAUCAUAAUAUUAUAAUUUGUCAUGUCAAAACUAAGAAAAACGAUUCAUUUUGAGUGUCAAUUGCUUUUGUGACACGUCUUGUGGGUUUAUAAGUAUAUUAGGAUUGGUUACUGUUAUUGUACAAAUCAAUUUUGGGUACUGUUAUUGCACAAGUCAAUUUUAGUAAUGAGUUACAUUCACCAUCGUCUAACAAUUGUAUUACAAUGGAAAUCCCUUCUUAGGAGUCUCUUAUUGUGAACACGAUAGGACGACUUGUAGAGUUACCCCAUUGAGAAAAAUAGACCACCAUAUCGUUCGUUCUCAAAAGGGUUUAUUGUAUUGAGUCUAUUGACUACUUAGAAUAAAAGGCAUGUCUUAUGGGGACCAAUGAGCCCAUCAUCUCCACCUAUAUAAUGCGAGGGCAUGUUUGAGCCACAUUUAAAAAAAAAAAUACAUUCUUAAACAAUAAUUUGACAUCAUUUCAAACACACAUUUUUCAAUAAAAUAACAUUACAUGCAAAUCCAAAACUUUCUUUAUUUUUUAACCACACAUUUUCCAUCAAUACAUUAUUCGAAAAUUCAUUCUAAGCAAAAUAAUGUGGCUCAAACAAGGGCCUAAUAAAAGCCAUACCACUCCCAUUAGCCUGGCUCCAAGAAACCUUUGUACCCUGCACUCCCCAAUCAACACCUAGAUGAAGUUGGCAAUGUUACUUUAAGUUAAACAAUUUACCUUAAUGACAAAAGCAUUACUCUUCUGUUUGUUCUUAUGCUUUUUUCUUGUGUCCAUUAAUUCACAAAAUGCAAAUGCAAUAGAGACGCUAGCACUUCUUGAAAUCGAUAUUAAAAUAAUUGAUUAUCCCUUCAAUUUUCUCAAUUUCUUGGAAUGAAUUUGCACAUUUUUGCCACUGGCCUGGUGUUGAUUGCACUAGAAGACAUCAACAAAUUACAAACUUGAAUCUGCAGCAUCAGAAACUAACAGGAUCUCUGUCCCCAUACAUUGAAAAUCUUACAUAUUUUAAAUUAACUUAUUCUUGAUAACAACUUCUUUACAGAAAACAUUCGUCGAGAACUUGCAAAGUUGAGAAGAUUGAGAUUCUUAUGGCUAAGAAAUGACUCAUUUGAUGGAGAAAUUCUUGUCAAUCUGUCUUCUUCUUCUAAUCUCAUCGAGAUUUGCCUUUCAUGGAAUAAUCUUUAUGGGAAUAUUUUUCAAUAGAACUUGGAUCUUUGCCAAAGCUUCGGCUGAUUCAAGCUCCAAGAAAUAGUACUGUAGGUGAAAUCCCGAGUAUUUUUGGGUUUCAUCCCUGGAGAUUUUCAAGCUUUCCUCCAACAGGCUUAUUGGGAGGAUUACAAAUGAAUUUGGACAACUGAAUACAUUGGAUUAAGUGAAAACAUAUUGUCUGGUUCUCUCCCUCCCAUAAUUUCAAUCUCACUUCUAUUACAACUAUUUUUGUGCCAAUGAACCAAAUGCAAGAUACACUUCCAUCUUACACAGGCAACAGAGUUGGUGGAGGCGGUGUUGAUGGUUUCGACUCCAAUCAUUAGAGUAUAGAUUUUCUAUGAUUUUUUUUUCAUUUUAUCCUCAUAUGUAUAUUAAUAAUUUCUUUCGAAUAUAUGAUGUCUUAUUUCUCUACCUUACUAUUCUCUUAUGUGUCUCUAGCUAUGUUUGCACGUAUUAAUUUACGCACCCUUUUCAAAAAGCAUCAUAUUCUUUUCAAAUUAGCUAUAUUCAAGUUUAGACGAUGGAAAGAUAUUAUAGGAAUUUUCAUCAAGUGAGAUUCAAGUAUAUUAAUAAAGACAUCGCGUACUGAGUUACGUUAUGAAGUUGUCGAGGCACGUAGUUGACUUGGAGGACUCAUCUUUGACCAGCAACAUACUGCUGAAGACGAACUAUUACAUGUAUAUGUUACUGCUUCUGGUAGGAUUAUGAUCAGUUUCUUUCAAUGCAAAUUUCUCUAAUCAUGAAAAUAUUUUUAAGGGUAUAGAAUGUAGUAAAUAACAUUGAACUCCACGCCUCCAUAUGAUGAAAGUUGAUAGCAUAUAAUUUUGGAUGAAGCUAUUUUCUUAAAAUGACAUUGUUAAUGGGUAGAUUCAAAGAACGAUGAUAAUUUUUUGCAAUUUGCUUUCAGGUCUUUGUUGUGUCCAAAUUGAAUGUUCCUGGUGCAUGACAGAUGCCUCAGGUGAUGUUGUCAUAAUUUCCCCCCUUCAAUGCUAUUGUUUCGACUGAUAUCAUGUGUAAAAUUUGUCACUAUCUUUAUCUAAGCCCUAUUGUAUCAAGCCUUUCAUGGUUGAAUUAAGAUAGAGUAAAGAGGUAACUGCCUUUAUAUAAUGAUCCAAACUUCUAAGAAGUAAUCACAAAACUUUUACUUCUUUUGACAGGUUUCGUCAAGUUGGGUAGACCAAUGUUAUUUCGGGAUGAACUGAGUUUAAAUUUGAUCUCAAGGAAAAAACUAAAGUUAACAUAUCCUACUUUCAGUUUCAACCCAAUUUUAUGGAGAAUUAUAGGUUUGAAGGGCGUCAAAGGUUAGAAAUCAGUACCAAAAACUGUUGAAUAUUCAUCUUUGUUCAAUGAUUGAUGUUCAGAACAUUUAAUUGACCAUGUGUUUCAUUUGUUUAAAGUAAUUUCCUUAUUCAUCAAUGUUAUGCUGUUGCUUUCAAAUUUCUCGAUGUAGGAGGAAUUGAAGAUGUUCUAAUGAGAGCGUACAUCUUGCUUUUGAUUUAAUGUCUCUAGGAAAGAAGGACAACAUUAUAGGAUAAUAAUAUUCUGAUGGUGCAGAUUGUUUUGGAAAGAAUAGCAAAAAAUACUCAUGGCUAUGUUGGUGCUGACCUUGCUGCUCUGCACUGAAGCUGCACUCCAGUGCCUAAGAGAGAUUAUUAUUAUUAUUUUGAUAGGUAAAAAGGAUAUUAUUGAUUUGGAAGACGAUUCUAUUCACGGUGAGAUACUAACUCCAUGAUUGUUACCAAUAAGCACUUCUAGACUACUCUAGGAAAAAGCAACCUAUCCGCUUUAUGGGAGACCGUAAGUGGAUUUUGACUGCUAUAUAUUUUGCUUGAUAUUUGUUUAUAUAUGUUUGUUGUCAUUUUUUUUUUUAAUGACGAGGGAACCCGCAGCCGUUACCCUUCGAGUGCGCACUAGAUAAACCCUCGAGCUGACGCAAUAGCCUGCAAAUCAUGCCAAUCAGGUAAACCGCACAGGCAAGCCUGGUGCGACAACAUGUUUGUUGUCAAUUUUGAUAUGAGAUUAUUACGUGAAAUAGCAGGUUGCCCGAUAUUUGCCUACUUAUGUUUGUUGUCAAUUUAAUAUUCCAAAUGUAUGAAUCACUUCAUUGCUUAGUUAAGUGAUUCAUUAAUAAAAUAACAUUUAACUAAUUUGAUCUUAUAAAGUAGAAAUCAUCCUUUAAAUUGAGUUUCUCACAAUUAUAUCCCGUAUAAUAAAAGUAUAUAAACAUUGACAAUUGUCUGCUUAUUUUGUGACAAAGAACUAUAUUACUAUGAUGUUUACACCUGUACAUUUAAUAAAAUUGGAUACAAAAUAUUAUAAACUUUAACAGUAUAUAACUAACUUCAAUAAAUAGAUAGUCGUAACGAAAAGUUAAAUACAAUGAAUACCAAAUGUUUGUAUCAAGAAUCAAGUAUAAAAAGAAAAGAGAUAAAAAGUAAGUCAAUUUCAACCAAUUUAUGAUUAUAUUUCAUGUUUAUAAAUGAAUUUCUCUCAAAUUUAAUACACUUAAUUUUAAAAUUAAUCAAACAACGUGCAACGUAUGUUCACCUCACUAGUUUUAAAGAAAAAGAUGUAUCACUAGUUUUAUAGAAAAAGAUGUACUAAUGUAUAUAAAAAUGAAAAAGUUUGUGUACAGAACCACACUUUUACCACCCUCUCACAGAACAUGGGGCCACUAUUAUUUUAAUCGCAGACCCCACCCCUAAUGUGAGAGGGUUGUUAUAGUUGCCAUCAAAGUAAUUGUACCUAGUAUGUCUCUAUUUAUAGAGCUUGCCUCCCGUUACUUCUCUCUCCACAGUCGCGAAAUUGCAUACUUUUUCACAUUUUCUCUCUCUGCAUUUGCUGGGACCUUUGGGAAACUGCGAACACCACUUUGUGGUAUCUAUAAUCAAACCUUCAAGAGGCAGCAAUCCAUUUCAAAACCCAAUUUUAAAUUUUCAUUCUCCAAUAUUUUUCAUUUUGUCUUCUGAUAUUUUUGCCAUAGGCGUUGUUUGUCUGUUGAACCCUCACAUAUAUUCUAUUAAGUCAUGUUAGCCUAAGGGUAUUUAAGUCUUUGUACAGCAUUUUUUUAUUAUAGAUCGGUUUGCUGCUAGUUGCAUCUUUGUAUAUAUAUAUACACUUGUACAGUUCAAAGUCAUGCAAUGUGAAUUGAGAUUUCUUUCCCGCCAUAUUCUCUUACCCUUUCAAUUCUAGAAUACUCUACAGCUAACUUCUCAUGGUAUCAGAGCAUUGAUGCUUCUCUGCAAUGGCAAGUGAAUCAAGUGCUCAAUCAAAGAUCAAAAAUCAGUCCAAUUAAACGAAUUCAUCGAUCAGAUUGUCUGCUGAUGAAGUGGUAACUGGAGAUAUGGCUGCUCUCGUUGAUUGAUUGAUAAGUGAUUCAAGCAGUCCGUAUUAUUUGCAUCAUGGCGAUAAUACAGAAAUGCAACUCACCAAUGUCAUGCUCACCGAGGAAAAUUACGCAACGUGGAGCCCUGCUGUUAUUAUGGCGCUCAGCGUCAAUAAUAAGGAAGGAUUCAUUGAUGGAUCAAUUGUUAAACCUUCCUUAAAUGAUCCUCUUUAUGGUGCUUGUAGGAGAUGCAACCAUGUGGUUUCUUCAUGGAUCAUUAAUUCAAUUUUGAAGGGACUAUAUCCGAGUAUGAUGCACGAGGACUCUGCAAGAGAAAUCUGGACUGAACUCGCACAUAUGAGCUUAAAAAGUAAAUUGCUUCGAUUUCUCAAGCAAAUAGUUCUGUUAACUCUUAUUUCAAUCGAUUCAAGGGACUUUAGGAAGAGCCGGACAACUACCCGGAUAUCAGUAACGGUAAUUACAAAUCUGAGGAGUAAGUUGACACUCAAGAACAAUUGUUUCCUGAUAUUCAUCCACCGUUGUUGUCUUAUUCAGGAUCUUUCAACAUGGAUGAUGAUUGGGGUAGGCAAGCUUGAAGAUGGAUUAUAUCAUUUUCAGCAACCUGAACACCAAAGCAGUGAUCAAUCCUCACGCAAUUUCCAACAUCUUAUAACAAAUUCCAUUGUCUUUCAUAGUUCAAACAAUAAUUCUGUCUCGUCUUUGAAAUGUAAUAAAGGAUAUCUUGCUGCCUGUACUUCCUUGAACAAUAUUGUUGUCAAUACAAACAUUGAUGUUUGGCAUUGUCGCUUGGGACAUAUUCCUGUUUCUAAGCUGUCGUUUUACAUAAAUUAGUUCCUGCAAUUGUCUUCAAUGAACAUUUACACUGUGC
rnacentral:lncRNA from 1 species